ACCUCAAAUCGGGUGAGACUACCCGCUGAACUUAAGCAUAUCAAUAAGCGGAGGAA
rnacentral:rRNA from 1 species